UCGCGUAGCUCGGAUACAACGUGUCCGAAAACCGCCUAUAAAUUGAAAUUGGUAUAGAUAGAAACGAACAGUUGCUCUGAGCCUGCCACUGAAAAUUAGUUAAUUUCGAGUUAGUAGUCAACAUUUCGUCGGUGCUAUUUUACAGGUGCAUCAACUUGCGGAAAGUAUCAUGAAUUGGCUGAUAAGUGGAACACGCGCGAUUGGUCUUUUCUACAUCUUCCUGCUGGUGCAGUCAUUUUUGGUUACUUCGUCGAAUUCUGAACCUGACGCGAUUUCUAUGAUGUCACGCAAGGCUGGAGUCACUGGUCCAGCUGCUAGAAUCCGCUCUCAAAAAGUUAUAAAGUCGAGCCUGUGUCGCAAGAAACAUUAAGAUUCCUCAAAUUUAUAUGACUGACACGCAUAUCUUUGUUCCUGUUCCUCCUCUUUUUGAUCAUCGAUUUUUGCUUUGAAUCUUGAGGAGCACUGACGUUGCAAGAUUCAAAGGACGUCGAUUGCUAAUUGAUCGAUUAUUAGCUCACUGAUUUUCUGUAUUCAGAAUCCUAUUCCUUGUCAAUCGAAUUACAAAGAAUGCAAUAAACGAGAUAACGCAAACA